UCACACUUUUUCACACUUUCACAGCUCAGAUUGGCAUGUUGGUGAACUUAUUAGCUUAGAUUUCACGUUAUUCACGGACAUUGCAUUCAUUCCCAUUCAGCUGUUGGACUGAACAGAUACUGUAACACAGUAUGGAUGGUCAAUAUGAAGCGAGCUUCAUUGAAUUCCUCCAAGAGCUCUGUACUCCGUUUUGCUCAUUUUGAAGAUGGUUGCUUUGACAGGACUGGGCAAGUGACUCGUCUUAGACAGGAUGCUGUCCCAACCAUAUUUGAUUUCCUGCCUCAUCUUCAGAAGAAUUCACCCAAGCCAAGGAAUUCCCUGAAAGAAAGACGUUUUGAUUCAGCAAACAACCUCCCAGAUACUGCAAAGUCUUCAGCACCUUCAUUUCUCGAGGACCACUCCUACUCAAUAUCAGAAAGUCCAAGAGGGGUAAAGUGGAAGAUAACAGCAAUAAUGGACUAUUAAAAACUUGGAGAAGAGGCUGAAACCACACAGCAGAAGUCCCGCCGUGUACAUUACUUGCUCUUAAGUUUGGACAAACAUGACUCGCAAAACUUUACAACAAAUAAUUACCCCAAUGUGCAUUCUGAUUAUUUAAAAUAGCUCAAUGA